UACGAAGGACCCAAGCGUUAUCCGGAUUUAUUGGGUUUAAAGGGUGCGUAGGCGGAUUAUUAAGUCAGUGGUGAAAGCCUGCAGCUUAACUGCAGAACUGCCAUUGAUACUGAUGAUCUUGAGUAUGAUUGAGGUGGGCGGAAUGUGUCAUGUAGCGGUGAAAUGCUUAGAUAUGACACAGAACACCGAUUGCGAAGGCAGCUUGCUACACUACUAUUGACACUGAGGCACGAAAGCGUGGGGAUCAAACAGG
rnacentral:rRNA from 1 species